GUGAAGCUGGAUUCGCUAGUAAUCGCGCAUCAGCCAUGGCGCGGUGAAUACGUUCCCGGGCCUUGUACACACCGCCCGUCAAGCCAUGGAAGCCGGGGGUGCCUGAAGUGUGCAGCCGCAAGGAGCGCCCUAAGGUAAAACCGGUGACUGGGGCUAAGUCGUAACAAGGUAUC
rnacentral:rRNA from 1 species